rnacentral:rRNA from 1 species
CCUACGGGAGGCAGCAGUGGGGAAUAUUGGGCAAUGGGCGCAAGCCUGACCCAGCAACGCCGCGUGAAGGAAGAAGGCUUUCGGGUUGUAAACUUCUUUUAAGAGGGAAGAGCAGAAGACGGUACCUCUUGAAUAAGCCACGGCUAACGACGUGCCAGCAGCCGCGGUAAUACGUAGGUGGCAAGCGUUGUGCGGAUUUACUGGGUGUAAAGGGCGUGUAGCCGGGAAGACAAGUCAGAUGUGAAAUCCCGCGGCUCAACCGCGGAACUGGAUUUGAAACUGGUUUUCUUGAGUACCGGGGAGGUCGUCGGAAUGCCUUGUGUAGCGGUGAAAUGCUUAGAUAUAAGGCAGAACCCCAGUGGCGAAGGCGGCUUACUGGACUGUAACUGACGCUGAGGCUCGAAAGCGUGGGGAGCAAACAGGAUUAGAUACCCUAGUAGUC